UGGGGAAUAUUGCACAAUGGGCGCAAGCCUGAUGCAGCCAUGCCGCGUGUGUGAAGAAGGCCUUCGGGUUGUAAAGCACUUUCAGCGGGGAGGAAGGCGGUGAGGUUAAUAACCUCAUCGAUUGACGUUACCCGCAGAAGAAGCACCGGCUAACUCCGUGCCAGCAGCCGCGGUAAUACGGAGGGUGCAAGCGUUAAUCGGAAUUACUGGGCGUAAAGCGCACGCAGGCGGUCUGUCAAGUCGGAUGUGAAAUCCCCGGGCUUAACCCGGGAAUUGCAUCUGAUACUGGUCAGCUAGAGUCUUGUAGAGGGGGGUAGAAUUCCAUGUGUAGCGGUGAAAUGCGUAGAGAUGUGGAGGAAUACCGGUGGCGAAGGCGGCCCCCUGGACAAAGACUGACGCUCAGGUGCGAAAGCGUGGGGAGCAAACAGG
rnacentral:rRNA from 1 species